CAGCGGAGCAACUAAGAAACUCAGCGAGUUCAACAAUGUCUCUAAAAAUCCUAUUUCUUGUGAUGUCAUUGGUAUCUCAGUGUUUGACUGCUUCACAGACAAGAAGCUGGACUCCUCAGGCCAUCUUAUACCUGAAAGGCGCACAAGGACAUCGAUCAGUGUUGGAGCGCAGCAGCAGAG